GUGAGGAAUAUUGGUCAAUGGGCGAGAGCCUGAACCAGCCAAGUAGCGUGCAGGAUGACGGCCCUAUGGGUUGUAAACUGCUUUUGCAUGGGAAUAAAGUGAGGCACGUGUGCCUUUUUGUAUGUACCAUGAGAAUAAGGACCGGCUAAUUCCGUGCCAGCAGCCGCGGUAAUACGGAAGGUCCGGGCGUUAUCCGGAUUUAUUGGGUUUAAAGGGAGCGCAGGCUGUAUUUUAAGCGUGACGUGAAAUGUACGGGCUCAACCGGUGCAGUGCGUCGCGAACUGGAGUACUUGAGUGCACUCGAGGAAUGCGGAAUUCGUGGUGUAGCGGUGAAAUGCUUAGAUAUCACGAAGAACUCCGAUUGCGAAGGCAGCGUUCCAGGGUGUAACUGACGCUAAAGCUCGAAAGUGCGGGUAUCGAACAGG
rnacentral:rRNA from 1 species